UACGGGGGGGGCAAGCGUUGUUCGGAAUUACUGGGCGUAAAGGGCGCGUAGGCGGCCUGCUAAGUCGAACGUGAAAUCCCCGGGCUCAACCCGGGAACUGCGUCCGAUACUGGCUGGCUUGAAUCCGGGAGAGGGAUGCGGAAUUCCAGGUGUAGCGGUGAAAUGCGUAGAUAUCUGGAGGAACACCGGUGGCGAAGGCGGCAUCCUGGACCGGUAUUGACGCUGAUGCGCGAAAGCGUGGGGAGCAAACAGG
rnacentral:rRNA from 1 species